rnacentral:rRNA from 1 species
CCCUUAGAUGUUCUGGGCUGCACGCGCGCUACACUGAAGCGUUCAACGAGUAUUCACCUUGCCCGGGAGGGUUGGGUAAUCUUUUCAAAACGCUUCGUGAUGGGGAUAGAUUAUUGCAAUUAUUAAUCUUCAACGAGGAAUUCCUAGUAAGCGCGAGUCAUCAGCUCGUGCUGAUUACGUCCCUGCCCUUUGUACACACCGCCCGUUGCUCCUACCGAUUGAGUGAUCCGGUGAAUAAUUCGGACUGCAGCAGGCCUGGUCUCCGGGUUUUGCAGCGGAAAGUUUAGUGAACCUUAUCACUUAGAGGAAGGAGAAGUCGUAACA